GAAACGCUUCGAUGCCAUUUCAUUUCAACAUCCAAACGAAGAAAGAGGGCGGUAAACUCACGGAUUUCCUCCUUUUCUUACCCCCCAAACCUUGUGCACGAAGCUCUCCUUUGUGUCUAAUUUUAUGUUCCAUUGCGUAAUUCCUGGAUAUUGAAAUCUGUCCGCGGCAUCGUCCGCGCUCGAUGGGUCUUUCUUUUAGGUUUUGAUGGGCAAUUCUUGUCGAGAUUCUUGGCAAGCAAGAUCGACCCCCCACACCGCCGCCAAUCCAUCGGCAUUCCCGACGACUCCUCCAAGAAGCCGCCGCCUUCACGAGGCGACUCCAACUACGUGUUCUACCAUGAGACGCCCAAUCUCCAGGACUCGUGGGGAGGAAAUGGGGGCAGAUUCAUGACGAGUACACAUAUAUGCGAGAAAUAUGUAUUGAGUUCAAGAUCUGGAUCGGUAGGAACUCGCAAAUCCUAUUACAGUACAAUGUUUUCACUUGUAAUGUUCGCACAGACACUUGUGUCUUCCUCUGGUACAGUCAAUUACAAUGCAGCAAACCAGUCCAGUAGGAAUUAUUCCUUCAAACCCUAUAUUUUCUACUUCUUGAUAAGCUUCUGGUUCAUCUCUCUGCAGGGUGUAACCAGCAGGGAUUAUUGGUUCAAACCCUACUAGCUUUUCUACUUCCCCACAACCUUCGUUCCAUCUCUUGCGCAGAGCGUGAUCUUCAGUC
rnacentral:lncRNA from 1 species